ensembl:lncRNA
AUGGUGAAGCGGUGCGCCCACGGCGUUUGUAAAUCGGACACUAGAUACCCCGAGAGAUUGUCUGGAGGAGUUGUGUUCUUUCCAUUCCCAAAGCCGAAAACACAACGUGAGCGGUGCCUACAAUGGAUAAAACAGUGUGGACGGCCCCAAUCCCAGUUAAAUGCGUCGAACAUUACGAAGCAUAAAUACGUCUGCUCAAAGCAUUUUAUGAACAGAAAACAUUCCCCUGAGUUCCCCAAUCCCGUAAAUGCUGUGCAAGGGCCUAACCCAGCUAAGGAGAAGCUUGGAGGCUGACGAAAGUCGCCCAAAAAAUGACGCAGAAUCUGUGUGCAGGAUGCCUCCUCCGGUUCCAUCUCCACUACUGAUGCAGGAGAGAGUCAACAACAUGCUGUUGAAAGUGGUGAGUGGAACGCAUUUUUCACAUUACUGCUGGCGUAAAUGUAUUUACUGUAUUGUUUUCCAUUUUCAGUUUAACUUUUGCCAAAAGUAACUCAGUAGUGUAACUCAGUAAAAAAAAUGAACAGUAAUAUGUAAUCCAAAUAUAAAUAAGUGAAAGUGAAAGAGAAAUGAGUGAAAUGAGUAAUAUAGAAGUGAAAUGAGUAAUAUAGAAUAUAUUACAAUGUUAAAGUAACUUGCUCAACACUGCGAACCAAACUAAAGAACAAAAUAAGAAUCAUUGGCACAUAAUAUAGUAGUUAAAGAAGAAUGCAUCAAGCUUGCACUUCAUUUGUUCCCAUUUUGCAACAUCAAAGUGUAUUCUCUCUAGGUGGUAGUCGUCUUCACAUUUAACAAAGAAAUCACACCAGGACAUACCUGAGAGACCAAGCUGCCCCAUUAUUUGAUAAUGAUGGGCAUAACACUCUUUUAAUUUAUAGCUGCCAUCAGCCUGCUUGCAAAGGUAGGGACACUCUGUGAAGCUAUUCUUGGAAGGACACUUUAUUUCUAAAAGCCCAUAGUUUGAGCUUUCACUCCCUCUCUCGAUCACCUUACGGUCAGGUGACGUGCCAAGGUGUGGGGCAUUGGGAUUUACAACAAAACCACAUGGAUACACUAGAUGACCUGUGAUCUUGGUGUAAUGUAUCGCUGCUAUAGGCUCUUGUUCUGUGCCUCUUUUCAUGGCCUUAGUUUGAACUACCUUAGUUUGAACUAUCACCUUGGUCAAAACACCGCUCUUCUGUUCCGAUCAAAACAUUAAACAGGUUCUCCCCACUCAGUGAAGCACCCACUGAGAAACCUGAUCAAAGUGCUCUAGUUAUUGGCGAUUCUAUUGUACGGAACGUGAAAAUAGAGACACCAGCCACCAUAGUCCAAUGUUUACCGGGAGUCAGAGCGCCUGACAUCUUAGCAAAUUUAAAAGUGCUGGCUAAUGCUAAACGUAAAUACAGUAAGAUUGUUAUUCACGCCAGUGCUAAUGAUGUUCGACUUCGCCAGUCGGAGAUCACUAAAAAUAACAUUAAAGAGGUGUGUGAACUUGCAAGCAUGACCUGACCUGUUGAAAAGAGAUGGUCUUCAUCCCUCCUGGGGUGGUGCCGCUCUUCUCUCUAGAAAUAUGGCACAUAGUCUUAGAGUUUGUACUUGACUAACUGGGGCCCAGUUCAGGAAGCAGACAGACUGGCUAAACCGACCAUCUGCUAGCCGCCUCACGUCACAGAAGUCAGUUAAUUCUCAGCACAUAGAGACUCUUUCACCUAGAUAUCACACUAUAGAUACUGUGUCUGUUCCCCGAACUAGAAAAUACAAAAAAACAUCCAAACCAAUUUAAGAGCAACAAUUUAAUUGAGGUUCAACAAAUAAAAUUAUUUUUUUUAUUAUUUUUGUAAAUAAU